UAUAUGAGCCCUGAACGCUUCGAUCCUGACACUUAUGGAGGAAAUUAUAAUGGCUAUGCAGCUGAUAUUUGGAGUUUGGGUCUCACCUUGUUGGAGCUUUAUUUGGGUCAUUUCCCACUUCUCACACCAGGUCAGAGACCGGAUUGGGCGACUCUGAUGUGCGCUAUCUGCUUUGGCGACCCGCCUACCUUGCCGGAGGAUGCGUCGGAGAAGUUUC
rnacentral:misc_RNA from 1 species